AUGGUAACCACUGUAUUCACUGGGCCAUGGCAGCAGGAGAGGAGAAGAGGCAGACAUGAGAGCUCAGGAAAUGGUGUGCGGGAUGCUCCAUCAACUGAUACAUCCCCAUGGAUGGAAAGGGCCCAAUCCCUGCACCAGUUCAGCAAGACAAGUGAGGUUGACAGAGCACUGGAACAGGCUGCCCAGAGAGGUUGUGGAGUCUCCUUCUCUGGAGGCAGUGGUGAUGAUGAGGAGUAUUUUAUCUACACAACAGUGGUGUCUACGCAUGGCUUGUCACUGAGCAUGGAGUUACAGUACACCAGUAAUACUGGAGGACCAUCUAUAUACACUUAUAUAUGGAAUGACAUUGAUGACUGAAGAAGGCCAGCCACUAGAGAGCAUGAUGUAUUUCUCCCUCCACAGUGGGAGUUAUGAGAACUUAGCACCUUCUUGGACAAAGGACAACAUUUUUCUUUAUAUUUUAGCUCUUCCCUGUGCAUAUUUUUCUAUAUGGAAGGAAAAAUUAAAUUCAUGGGAAGCAAGGAGUUUUCUUCACAAGAAAAAUGCCCGUACUCCUGAAAUAUUCAUCAUAAUAACAAACCGAAAAACCAAACUGAAAUACCCACACUCUUAUUACUUCAGCCAGGCUUCCUUUCAGAAAGUAAAAUAAAUCAUAAUUUAUGCAUGAAGACCUGAAAAUC
rnacentral:lncRNA from 1 species